UACCAAAAGAUUGAGUUAUAUAUUUAGGUAAAAAGAUAGUUAAGUAGAUUAGAAAAGUUUUUUAAUUUUUUGUAAAAGGGUAAAAUUUGAAUAUAAAAGAAUGAUUUUUUAAAGGCUUGAGAAACUGAAGCUAUGAUAAUUUUGAGUGAAACUGGGAUUAGAUACCCCAUUAUUCAUAAUUGUAAAUUUAUUUUAAAUAUACCAGAGUACUAUGAAUAAAUAAAAUUUAAAACUCAAAGGGCUUGGCGGUGUUUUAGACCAAUUAGGGGAACCUGUCUCUUAAUCGACAAUCCACGUUACACCUAACCUUUAUUUAGUAGACAGUUUGUAUACCGUCGUCGUCUGGUAACUUUUAAAAAUUAAGAAGUUGGCAAAGUAAUAUUGUUGAUUUAGACGUCAGAUCAAGGUGCAGCUUAUAAUAGGGUGAGGAUGGGUUACAAUUAUAAAAUUAUAAUUAUGGAUGGUUUAAUGGAAGAAGCUUUAAGGAGGACUUAAAAGUAAUGUUAUAAUAUAUAGAUAAUUUGAAUUUGGCUCUGAAACGUGC
rnacentral:rRNA from 1 species